UACAGAGGGCGCGAGCGUUGUCCGGAAUCACUGGGCGUAAAGGGCGCGUAGGUGGCGGCAUAAGGCCGUGGUGAAAGUCUGGGGCUCAACCCCAGAUCGGCCAUGGCGACUGUGUCGCUAGGGUACUGUAGAGGCAGGUGGAAUUCCACGUGUAGCGGUGAAAUGCGUAGAGAUGUGGAGGAACACCAGUGGCGAAGGCGGCUUCUUGGCCUGUUCUUGACGCUGAGGCGCGAAAGCUGGGGGAGCAAACGGG
rnacentral:rRNA from 1 species